rnacentral:rRNA from 1 species
GGGCGUUAAGUUGCAGGGUAUAGACCCGAAACCCGGUGAUCUAGCCAUGGGCAGGUUGAAGGUUGGGUAACACUAACUGGAGGACCGAACCGACUAAUGUUGAAAAAUUAGCGGAUGACCUGUGGCUGGGGGUGAAAGGCCAAUCAAACCGGGAGAUAGCUGGUUCUCCCCGAAAGCUAUUUAGGUAGCGCCUCGUGAAUUCAUCUCCGGGGGUAGAGCACUGUUUCGGCUAGGGGGCCAUCCCGGCUUACCAACCCGAUGCAAACUGCGAAUACCGGAGAAUGUUAUCACGGGAGACACACGGCGGGUGCUAACGUCCGUCGUGAAGAGGGAAACAACCCAGACCGCCAGCUAAGGUCCCAAAGUCAUGGUUAAGUGGGAAACGAUGUGGGAAGGCCCAGACAGCCAGGAUGUUGGCUUAGAAGCAGCCAUCAUUUAAAGAAAGCGUAAUAGCUCACUGGUCGAGUCGGCCUGCGCGGAAGAUGUAACGGGGCUAAACCAUGCACCGAAGCUGCGGCAGCGACGUUUAUGCGUUGUUGGGUAGGGGAGCGUUCUGUAAGCCUGCGAAGGUGGCCUGUGAGGGUUGCUGGAGGUAUCAGAAGUGCGAAUGCUGACAUAAGUAACGAUAAAGCGGGUGAAAAGCCCGCUCGCCGGAAGACCAAGGGUUC